GAGGAAGUGGAGCGGCGGAGGAAGAGGGAGGAGGCGCGCAGGAGAGGAAGUGAGCAGGUCCUCUGCCCGCUCGCGGGAACUUUGCCCUUGCAGGGAGUUUUCCGAGCUGUCACUGGGGCAGGCCAGCACCCAGCCCCCGGGGCCCUUAGUCGGCUCAGCCAAUGGCGACGGCACUUGCGUUUCUGCAGCAGCUCUCCCGCUCAAGAGAGGGGAAGUGACCCAGUGAGGAUUCCACAGCAAGAGCGAGCACAGGCGGGUGCCCAGCCUCCUGGAUCAUGCCGCUCCUGAAUCCCGCACACCAGCACCAACCAGCCAGGCAUGUUUCCAGGGAGGAACAGCCCCGGACAACACCCCGAAUACAGCAAGUGCUGGCGCCCCAGACGGAAGCAGAGAGGUGCUCUGUUGAGUAGGUCUCGGUUCUGUCGCUCACCCCGGAUGUCCUUGGAAAAGGACUCGGCAUCUCUGAGUCCAGGAGGGUCAGCAAGACCCAGUGCAGAUGGCGCCAUCCGGGAGGGUUUUUUUGGACCUUUCAGGGGCUUGUCACAGACAGUCUGGAAGCCAGCCGUCACCUGCCUACUUACCAAAGGGGAAACCAAGGCCCAGAGAUGGGCAGAGGCUCGCCCAGUGUCACAC
ensembl:lncRNA